rnacentral:rRNA from 1 species
UACGUAGGGUGCAAGCGUUAAUCGGAAUUACUGGGCGUAAAGCGUGCGCAGGCGGUUGUGUAAGACAGAUGUGAAAUCCCCGGGCUCAACCUGGGAACUGCAUUUGUGACUGCACAGCUGGAGUGCGGCAGAGGGGGGAUGGAAUUCCGCGUGUAGCAGUGAAAUGCGUAGAUAUGCGGAGGAACACCGAUGGCGAAGGCAAUCCCCCUGGGCCUGCACUGACGCUCAUGCACGAAAGCGUGGGGAGCAAACAGG